CAGCCGCCGCGGUAAUACGAAGGGGGCUAGCGUUGCUCGGAAUGACUGGGCGUAAAGGGCGCGUAGGCGGCGGCCAAAGUCAGGCGUGAAAUUCCCGGGCUCAACCUGGGGGCUGCGUUUGAUACUUGGUUGCUUGAGUGGGGAAGAGGGUCGUGGAAUUCCCAGUGUAGAGGUGAAAUUCGUAGAUAUUGGGAAGAACACCGGUGGCGAAGGCGGCGACCUGGUCCUUUACUGACGCUGAGGCGCGAAAGCGUGGGGAGCAAACAGGAUUAGAUACCCGCGUAGUCCCUGUCUCUUAUAC
rnacentral:rRNA from 1 species